rnacentral:sRNA from 1 species
GAUACCAGGGUCAAAUAGACAAAACUCCGAUGCAAGCUUGCUUGUGAGAGGAGUUUUGACUACUUGACCCGCCCAAAACAUGAGAAAGUAGCCAUUUUUCGCAGAAAAAUGAGCGGAUUUCGAAUGCUUUGAGGCUUGUGAGAGUGCGUAAGCACGAAGCAAGCCGGU